UCAUUCAUCAGCUCAGUCGGUAGAGCAUGAGACUCUUAAUCUUAGGGUCGUGGGUUCGAGCCCCACGUUGGGUGUA